rnacentral:rRNA from 1 species
UCCGGAAGGGGGGGGGGUUCACGUUUUUACACGAACAACCCAUUAAUGCAUGUGUAGAAUGUCUUACUUUUUGCGGUCACACGCAAUCAAUACAACUUUCAACAACGGAUCUCUUGGCUCUCGCAUCGAUGAAGAACGCAGCGAAAUGCGAUACGUAAUGUGAAUUGCAGAAUUCAGUGAAUCAUCGAAUCUUUGAACGCACCUUGCGCCCCUUGGUAUUCCGAGGGGUGCACCCGUUUGAGUGUCGUGAACACCCUCAAUCUUCUUGGNUUAUCGACCGGGAAGGCUUGGACUUUGGAGGUUUUUGUUGCUGGNCUCGUUUGAAGCCAGCUCCUCCUAAACGAAUUAGUGGGGUCCGCCGUGCCGACCCUCGACGUGAUAAGUACGCUUCUACGUCUUGGGGUUUCGCACUGUCGCCUGCUUCCAACCGUCUUUGAAUGAAGACAAUCUAUAGACCUUGACUCAAUCGGGUG